GAAGAAGCUUGCUUCUUUGCUGACGAGUGGCGGACGGGUGAGUAAUGUCUGGGAAACUGCCUGAUGGAGGGGGAUAACUACUGGAAACGGUAGCUAAUACCGCAUAACGUCGCAAGACCAAAGAGGGGGACCUUCGGGCCUCUUGCCAUCGGAUGUGCCCAGAUGGGAUUAGCUAGUAGGUGGGGUAACGGCUCACCUAGGCGACGAUCCCUAGCUGGUCUGAGAGGAUGACCAGCCACACUGGAACUGAGACACGGUCCAGACUCCUACGGGAGGCAGCAGUGGGGAAUAUUGCACAAUGGGCGCAAGCCUGAUGCAGCCAUGCCGCGUGUAUGAAGAAGGCCUUAGGGUUGUAAAGUACUUUCAGCGGGGAGGAAGGGAGUAAAGUUAAUACCUUUGCUCAUUGACGUUACCCGCAGAAGAAGCACCGGCUAACUCCGUGCCAGCAGCCGCGGUAAUACGGAGGGUGCAAGCGUUAAUCGGAAUUACUGGGCGUAAAGCGCACGCAGGCGGUUUGUUAAGUCAGAUGUGAAAUCCCCGGGCUCAACCUGGGAACUGCAUCUGAUACUGGCAAGCUCGAGUCUCGUAGAGGGGGGUAGAAUUCCAGGUGUAGCGGUGAAAUGCGUAGAGAUCUGGAGGAAUACCGGUGGCGAAGGCGGCCCCCUGGACGAAGACUGACGCUCAGGUGCGAAAGCGUGGGG
rnacentral:rRNA from 1 species